CACGUAGGGGGCAAGCGUUGUCCGGAUUUAUUGGGCGUAAAGAGUUCGUAGGUGGUUCGGUAAGUCGGGUGUUAAACCCCCAGGCUCAACCUGGGGACGCCACUCGAUACUGCUGUGACUAGAGUCCGGUAGGGGAGCGUGGAAUUCCUGGUGUAGCGGUGAAAUGCGCAGAUAUCAGGAGGAACACCAGCGGCGAAGGCGGCGCUCUGGGCCGGUACUGACGCUGAGGCGCGAAAGCGUGGGGAGCAAACAGG
rnacentral:rRNA from 1 species